rnacentral:tRNA from 1 species
GGGGCUAUAGUUAAACAAUUAACAUUUAAUUUGCAAUUAAAAAAUACUAUACCAACUAGUUUGCCUCA